GACAGAGGUGCCGAGCGUUAGGCGGAAUCACUGGGCUUAAAGCGUGUGUAGGCGGGCGGCCAAGUACCUUGUGAAAUCCCACGGCUCAACCGUGGAACUGCUGGGUAUACUGGUCGUCUUGAGCCAAUCAGGGGCGAGCGGAACAGACGGUGGAGCGGUGAAAUGCGUAGAUAUCAGGAGGAACACCGGUGGCGAAGGCGGCUAUCUGGACAGAGUCUGACGCUGAGGCGCGAAAGCUAGGGGAGCAAACAGG
rnacentral:rRNA from 1 species